UGCCUUUAUGUGUUGCCCAUUCAUUGCUCUCUACAGUGAAUGUGGUGUCAACAAAGGCAUACAGCAAUUUCUUGGAUCGGCCUUAGCAAGGUUCCUCUCUGGUGACCUUGUCCUAAGUUCUAUACCAAGUACAGUU
ensembl:snoRNA